rnacentral:rRNA from 1 species
UACGUAGGGGGCGAGCGUUGUCCGGAGUUACUGGGCGUAAAGCGCACGCAGGCGGUCUGGUAAGUUUGGAGUGACAGUGCCCGGCUCAACUGGGCAAGGCCUCUGAAGACUGCUGGACUUGAGGACCAGAGAGGGACAUAGAAUUCCGGGUGGAGUGGUGAAAUGCGUAGGAUAUCCGGAGGAAUACCAAAGGCGAAGGCAGUGUCCUGGCUGGUAACUGACGCUCAGGUGCGAAAGCUAGGGGAGCGAACAGG